GACAGAGGGUGCAAACGUUGUUCGGAAUUACUGGACGUAAAGCGCGUGUAGGCUGCUCCGCAAGUCGGGUGUGAAAGCCCUGGGCUCAACCUAGGAAGUGCACUCGAAACUGCGGAGCUGGAGUCCUGGAGAGGAAGGCGGAAUUCUCGGUGUAGAGGUGAAAUUCGUAGAUAUCGAGAGGAACACCGGUGGCGAAGGCGGCCUUCUGGACAGUGACUGACGCUGAGACGCGAAAGCGUGGGGAGCAAACAGG
rnacentral:rRNA from 1 species